GAUGAACGCUGGCGGCGUGCCUAACACAUGCAAGUCGAACGAAGCACUUUGAAGUUUUCGGACGGAAGAGUGACUGAGUGGCGGACGGGUGAGUAACGUGUGGGUAACCUGCCUCAUACAGGGGGAUAACAGUUAGAAAUGACUGCUAAUACCGCAUAAGCGCACAGCUUCGCAUGAAGCAGUGUGAAAAACUCCGGUGGUAUGAGAUGGACCCGCGUCUGAUUAGCUGGUUGGCGGGGUAACGGCCCACCAAGGCGACGAUCAGUAGCCGACCUGAGAGGGUGACCGGCCACAUUGGGACUGAGACACGGCCCGAACUCCUACGGGAGGCAGCAGUGGGGAAUAUUGCACAAUGGGCGAAAGCCUGAUGCAGCAACGCCGCGUGAGUGAAGAAGUAUUUCGGUAUGUAAAGCUCUAUCAGCAGGGAAGAAAAUGACGGUACCUGACUAAGAAGCCCCGGCUAACUACGUGCCAGCCGCCGCCGUAAAAC
rnacentral:rRNA from 1 species